AUGCACAGUAGGGCAAGCAGGGGUUUUGUGUGGCCUACGUGGACCUGUGUCUCCCGGUAUUCCCUGGCCACCCGCCUAAGACUUUCCGUGGUAGCCCUGUCCUCCACACCCUCAGGAGAGCCACAAGAUUCGUGUUUAAGACUGCAGGUUACUAUGUCACUUGGUGCUGCUAAAUUAAUCCAAUUACAUCAGAAAGGAGGAUGGGCAUUGAAGAAACUCAAUAUGGAGUUUGCUUUCAACAUGGCAAGAUUAGCCAUUUGGGCAAGAAACUGCUCUUGCCUGGACUGUUUGUUGCUGCAUAAAGUAGACAUGCAGGACCCACAGAAAGUGACUGCUGAACUUACAUACCAAGAUAGACAGUCCUGAAGGGUUCCUGCUUCAUGGAGGAGUCUGCCAGACAUUCUGCAGGACACAGAGGAAAUUGACUGAUAAACUGCCAAUGCAGGUGGACAGUUUAAAAUUUCCUGCUUCACUAAGAAGUCUGCCAGACACACUGUGACCUAUGGGCUGAAGAUGGAUGCUUCAACAUUGCAGAGGAACUUUGGGUAACUGUCCAGGUAACGAGAUGUCUCUGUCAGGUCUAGAGUUUAUAUAUUAUCCUUCUGUGGUCUUUGAUUUG
rnacentral:lncRNA from 1 species